ACUUUGAUUCUGGCUCGGAGUGAACGCUGGCGGCGUGCUUAACACAUGCAAGUCGAACGAGAACGGGUUAUAGCUUGCUAUAACUGUCAGCUAAGUGGCGCACGGGUGAGUAAUGUAUAGUUAACCUGCCCUCGAGAAAGGAAUAACAGUUGGAAACGACUGCUAAUGCCCUAUAUGCCUUUAAGACAUAAGUCUGCAAGGGAAAUGCUUUAGUGCUCGAGGAUGGGACUGUAUGGUAUCAGCUAGUUGGUGAGGUAAUGGCUCACCAAGGCAAUGACGCCUAACUGGUUUGAGAGGAUGAUCAGUCACACUGGAACUGAGACACGGUCCAGACUCCUACGGGAGGCAGCAGUGGGGAAUAUUGCACAAUGGAGGAAACUCUGAUGCAGCAACGCCGCGUGGAGGAUGACACUUUUCGGAGCGUAAACUCCUUUUAUAUAGGAAGAUAAUGACGGUACUAUAUGAAUAAGCACCGGCUAACUCCGUGCCAGCAGCCGCGGUA
rnacentral:rRNA from 1 species